rnacentral:rRNA from 1 species
CUACGGGCCGCUGCAGUGGGGAAUAUUGGACAAUGGGGGAAACCCUGAUCCAGCAAUGCCGCGUGUGUGAAGAAGGCCUGCGGGUUGUAAAGCACUUUCGGUUGGGAGGACUGCUUCUAGCACUAAUAUUGUUGGAAGUUGACGUUACCUUCAGAAGAAGCACCGGCUAACUCCGUGCCAGCAGCCGCGGUAAUACGGGAGGGUGCAAGCGGUAAUCGGAAUUACUGGGCGUAAAGCGCGCGUAGGCGGCUAGAUCAGUCGGGUGUGAAAGCCCCGGGCUUAACCUGGGAACUGCAUCCGAUACUGUCUAGCUUGAGUACAGGAGAGGAGAGUGGAAUUCCACAUGUAGCGGUGAAAUGCGUAGAUAUGUGGAGGAACACCAAUGGCGAAGGCAGCUCUCUGGCCUGAUACUGACGCUGAGGUGCGAAAGCGUGGGGAGCAAACAGGAUUAGAUACCCUUGUAGUC